GGUCUGGUGGUGUAGUUGGUUAUCACGUCAGUCUAACAGCUCGAGGCAACUCGAUCUGGGCCCACUGAAGGUCUCCGGUUCAAGUCCGGGCUAGAUCA
rnacentral:tRNA from 1 species